rnacentral:misc_RNA from 1 species
AAAAAUAAAAGAAAAUGGCUUCAAAAAAGAAAAGAGUGGAAGAUGUCGCGAAAGACGAUGAAAUGUCGGACCAGAGUGAUGCAGAAGACAUGGAAGAGGACACAGAGAUGGAGAUCAAAGAGGAGAUCCAAGUUGAUUUCGAAGCAAGAGUACCCGAGGGAAGUGAUUUCCAUGGAAUUAGAACCCUUUUACAACAGUUAUUUUUGAAAGCCAACAUUAACCUAUCAGAAAUGGCAGACAUCAUUAUUUCCCAAGGACAAGUUGGCAGUGUCGUAAAGCAAUCCUAUGUUCCAGAAGAAGAUGAGGAUGAUGAGGAGAUGGCAGAAGAUGACCCAGUCCUCGCCGUGACUUCAGUUAUCAACAUCACAGACAAAAAGGAUAUGGAGUGUGUAAAGCAGGUCCGUUCCAUGCUGAUAGAUCAGUGUCAGAAGUGUGGAGGGGAUCCAAGAUUUAGCAAGGUGCUCAAUGAUGGGGGCCACCAUGUGGGGCUGCUGGUCAGUGAGAGAUACAUCAACAUCCCCCCACAGUUAGCUGUCCCCAUGUUUGAAUCAUUGUUAAGUGGAGAAAUGCAAAAAUAAGAAAAUGAAGUAUGACUUUGCCUACUACAUUCUUGUAUGUAAAACAUACAGACAGAAAGGCCAAAAAAACAGUCCCUUGUUUUACACUAAUGCAGAAGAAGAAUAUCUACAGGAGGUAUAUCGUGUAUAUAAAAUUGAACAAAGUGUUAAAGAGAAAAUUUAUGGUAAAAAUUCUUUUUCUAUAAUUCAAAAUUUAAAGCAACAUAUUCUCAUUUUCUGGGAUGAACAUGAUUGUAAUUAUAUUGUUAGUAUAGGUAUAAUAAUUUCAGCAAUUUUUGUCAUGACUAGAAAUUCAGUACUGAUGUCUACUCUGAAUAAGAAAUAUCAUUGCAAAAAUUUUAAUUCUUGAUAAAUAUUGCUGAGCUUAAGCGCCAUCAUAUUCCAUCACAAAUGCCCAACAUUUAACAGCAUAAUAUUUCUGUUUCUCUUGAAAACUUUUGUAACAUAUUUAAGUAAAAUAACUUUUGAUUUUUGAAGGUGAGUGAAACCAGUUUCCAGUACUCGGUGCAGGCGGAACGCGACACAGUGGUAGAUGGUUCCUGGGAUGCGGAGGACCAGUUUGAGGCUUUUCGGACUGUGUUGUUGAUCUCUGCAGACAAACUCAAACAAGGAGUAGACAAAAUUAAAACAGAACUUGCUACAACAUAAUAAAGAAAUAAACCAAAAAAAG